CGUGCAUGUUGAGAACAUGAGCUCGUAAUGUCUUUGUCUGGACUAGUUAAGGGUUUUCAUGACAAAGAUUCAGUCUGCUCUGCAUCAUGAUGCAAAACAAGGAGACUCACACUGAGGAUGAACUGAAGGUCCAGGGUGGUGUUUUUGGACUGCCUUCUCUCCAUGCCUUGGCUGGGAUCCUCCAGGAGAAGGUGCAUGUUUUUGGCCAAACCCAGGACAUGCUGCAAGCUCCAACACGACAGCAGCCUGAGCCGGGCCACAGUACCCUGAGCACGGCACAUCUCCCUGAGGCCACAUCCAGCACCUCAGUAACCGACACACAUGCUGCAGAUACAGAACAUCAGAGCAGGGUGAGUACAUGGUUGGUGUCUGUCCUACUGUACCAGGCCAGCAGGGGGUGCUUCAGCAGAUGUAAUGGAGCAUGGACACCUUACUCAGCUCCUGCUUGGCCUCCAAUCAUGUCCACGCACAAGCCUCACAGUAAUCAGCUGUUUUAAGUCCUUCAGUUAAGUGCUGUUUACUUUCAUGAGACUCAGGGGAACCACAGGCAUCAAU